CAAAGCUUGUCAUAAGAUCUUCAGUAACCAUCACCACCGGCUACAGCUGAAGGCAGCUCCGGCCUCCUCCAAUCCCCCCGGCGCCCCGGCUCUGCCGCUGCACAAUUCCUCCGUGACUGCCAACUCCCAGUCCCCGGCCCUUCUGGCCGGCACCAACCCCGUUGCUGUCGUCGCGGAUGGAGGCAGUUGCCCCGCACACUACCCGGUGCACGAGUGCGUCUUCAAGGGGGAUGUGAGGAGACUCUCCUCUCUCAUCCGCACGCACAAUAUCGGGCAGAAAGAUAAUCACGGAAAUACUCCUUUACACCUUGCUGUGAUGUUAGGAAAUAAAGAAUGUGCCCAUUUACUUUUGGCUCACAAUGCUCCAGUCAAGGUGAAAAAUGCUCAGGGAUGGAGCCCUCUGGCGGAAGCCAUCAGCUAUGGAGAUAGGCAGAUGAUUACAGCUCUUUUGAGGAAGCUUAAGCAGCAAUCCAGGGAAAGUGUUGAAGAAAAACGACCUCGAUUAUUAAAAGCCCUGAAAGAGCUAGGUGACUUUUAUCUAGAACUUCACUGGGAUUUUCAAAGCUGGGUGCCUUUACUUUCCCGAAUUCUGCCUUCCGAUGCAUGUAAAAUAUACAAACAAGGUAUCAAUAUCAGACUAUCCAGAAGGCAAACAGUGAGGAUCUUGAUGUAAUAUUAAGAAGAUUUACAGUGGUUACCUUCCUGAUCCUGGAUUUAUUAAGGAAUAAGGGACACAUAAGGAAGACCCAAUUCUUGCCUUUUUCUCCAUCUCUUUCAUGUCUUUCCUUCCCCUGUUUACUAAUCCGUGUAUCCGUUCAUCUGUUCAUUCAUUGAUCUAUCCAAUCCAGUGAAUAUUUUGAGGCUAAUUUUAAUUUUCCUCAUUCUGUUCCUUUUAUAACUAAGAUUAAUGUUUGAAUCUGAUAGAAAAUACAUCUAUUUAACUUACAUGAUUCUUUAUUUUGCUUUAUAAUAAUAUAGCCAUAUUUAUAAAUUAUCUAUUUGUAAAGUAUAUAUAAUGCUAGUUAGUAUGCCAACUUUUAUGUAUAUAUGUGCAUAUAUUGGUAUAUUUAUAAAUAGUAUACAUGUAUAUAUAUAAUUUUGUGUAUGUGUGUGUCUGUAUAUCUCCAGAAUAUUAAUUUGAAAGUUUAAGGGUCUAGAACUAGAAAUAACUUGAAGGAUUAUCUCAUAUAAAGUCUUAAUUUAGAGAUGAGAAAGAGAAGUUAAGUGAUUUUUUUUACAAGAGCAUUUUACAAAUUAAUGGCUGAACCAGGACUUCUGACUUCUUGUUUGUUGUUCUUCUCACCAUGACACAAAGCAGAAGUUUUUAAAAAUCAGCUAUUUCUGAGAAAUUUAUUGUUUAGUAUUUUGAAUUAGUGAAGCAAUAACUUUUAGUUGGAAGUAAAUUCUAGGGUAAUUAUCCUUAAGCAAUAGAAUUUGGUUAAGGUAGAUAUUUCUGUUUUUGUUGUUGUUGUUGUUUUUGUUUUUUCUUUUUUUAGAUAAUAAAGAUAGGGUCUCACUAUAUUGCCCAGGCUGGUCUUGAACAUACAGGCUCAAGUGAUUCUUCCACCUUGGCCUCGCAAAGUGCUGGGAUUACAGUGUGAGCCAUCACACCCAGCGUGUUUUUUAAAAAAACCUCUUCAGGUGUUUCUAAUUAUAAAAGUGCUCAUGUACCUUAAAUGCACUGUCAUUACAGAAAACUUGGAAAAUACAGAAAAAUAGAAGAAAAACUAAGUAGAAAAGGAUUUUUGAUGUGGAUUUAAUUCAGCAGCCUUUUGUUAGCAAUUAUUAUGGUUUCAUUAAUUUAGACAUUUUUAAUAUAGGUGCUUGCCAAAGAUGGUAGGCAAUUUUGGAGGAUACUAUUAUCUUCCAUGUGAUAGUUUAAAAAGUUAGUUUUAGGCCGGGUGUGGUGACUCAUGCCUGUAAUCCCAGCACUUUGGGAGGCUGAGGCAGGUAGAUCACUUGAGUCCUGGAGUUCGAGACCAGCCUGGGCAACAUGGCAAAACCCCAUCUUUACAAAAAAAUAUUAAAAAUUAGCUGGGCAUGGUGACACGUGCCUAUAGUUCCAGCUACCUGGGAGGCUGAGGUGGGAGAAUCACCUGACCCCAGGAAGUUGAGGCUGCAGUGAGCUGUAAUCACGACACUGCACUUUAGCCUGGGCAACAGAGUAAGACCUUGUCUCAGAAAAAAUAAAGUUUUUAUUCUGAGUCCUAGGUUUAGGCAAGAAGGAAUCUCUUUGAAAAAAAAUUGUUUCACAUUUAUAUAUGACUUUUUAAAGUAAAUGUUUUAGUACAUAUUAUAUAAUAACUAUAGGUAAUAAAACCAAAAAGGUUAAAACACAACCUAGGCAAUAUAAUGAAAUCUUGUCUAUACGAAAAAUACAAAAAAUUAGCUGGGCAUGGUGGCACGCACUUGUAGUCCCUGCUACUCAGGAGGCUGAGGUGGGAGGAUCACCUGAGCCCAGGAGCUUGAGGCUACAGUGAGCCGAGAUCGUGCCACUGUAUUCCAACCUGGGUGACAGAGUGAGUCCCUGUCACACACACACACAAAAGUUAAAACAGGAACAUGAGGGCAAAAGCCUGGGGGAGAAAAAUUGUGAGAAAAGUUGUAGGUUAAGGGGAAGUUAGUAACUUAGCAAGAUACUAGACAUGGGGCUUACUAGUAACUAAGGAUGAAGGACAAAUGUGAUAGGUUCUAAAGCUCUCAUCAAACAAGGCUUACCAGAUUAAUGGAGAGGAUAGCUUUUAGGAUGUAUGACAAAAGGUUUUUUGCCUAGGUGAUGAGAAUCUAAAGGAAAAAAUCUGUUAACAUUAAAUAAAAACUUGCUAUUUUAAAUGUCAUGAGACAAUUUUUUAACACCAUUUUAAUAAAGCUAAAUUUUAAAAUAUAUUCAAAGAGAAAUCUUUAAGUUGACUUUUAUUUCAUGGCAGCCAUGUAAUCAUUUGAAAUGUCUUCUCUGGUAUCAAAGAGAAACUAAUACUUUAGUAGAAAUAGGAAAGUGUGAGCAACAUUAUUCUUGAGAGUACUAACAAAGAUUUUGACCAUAAAUACAAAUAAUUAAGAGGUAAUCUGUAAUCACUGAUUGAAAGUAUAUUUGUACACUUUUUGUCUUACUUCAGGAUUUUCUUGUCUGAAGUGAAGCCUUUAGUUCCUUUUUUCAGUGUUAUUUGGCAUUUUUUCAGGCUUUCUUCUUAAAAAUAAUACUUUCUAUUCAAAUCUUUGCAUUUGUAUAAAGAACUUAUUGUUCUUCAUGGCUAAUUACAUGGGAAAAAUUAAAAAUAUUUAGGUUCAUAGGCUUAAAGCCAAGGACUAGUGAGGACUUUAAAAUGUUAUCGUGAUAAUUAACAUUAUUUACUGAGGCAUAUGUGAUGCAGCUUACCAGGUCAUCUAAUAUGUCAGGGAUAUACAGAAAAUGUAUUACCCUUUUUAUUGCAAAAUUAUAGAAACACGAAUGAAAUAAAAAUAGGCUGUAUUAAUUUAUAUAACUGGGAAGUUUCUAUAACUAAUUUUACAUAUCGCUAGAUCUAAAAUCUCAAAGGUCACCAUGUCAGUCUGUCUUUGUCUUUCUUUAUCUGUCUUUCUGUGCAUCUCUUUACUCACCUUUUCAUCUCCACUCCUGGCAACCCACUACCACUUUCACCUAUGAUGGGCAAGCAGGGAAUGGAGGCAGAAGACUGUUUUAGCCCAUUUCUUCUUUUAUGUAGAGCAUAACAUUCCCUGAUAGCUGAAGCUUGGAGCCCAAAUAGUGCACUUACAUAUAAAAUGAUCUGUUCCUUUUUGGUAUUAUCAGGAGCCCACAUCUUAUAGAGAUAGGGGAAGAGUCCCUUUUAAUACUAUUUUCUUUU
rnacentral:lncRNA from 10 species